rnacentral:rRNA from 1 species
GACAGAGGGUGCAAACGUUGUUCGGAUUUACUGGGCGUAAAGCGCGUGUAGGCGGCCUUGCAAGUCGGAUGUGAAAGCCCACGGCUCAACCGUGGAAGUGCAUCCGAAACUGCAUAGCUUGAGUCUCGGAGAGGAAGGUGAAAUGCUUGGUGUAGAGGUGAAAUUCGUAGAUAUCAAGCAGAACACCUGCGGCGAAGGCGGCCUUCUGGACGAUGACUGACGCUGAGACGCGAAAGCGUGGGGAGCAAACAGG